ensembl:lncRNA
UGAGGUACGACACACAACUAAAACCAUCUCCUCAUUUAAGCAGGUUAAUGUUUGGUUACCAGCUGACUGAGAGGUACGACACACAACUAAAACCAUCUCCUCAUUUAAGCAGGUUAAUGUUUGGUUACCAGCUGACUGAGAGGUACGACACACAACUAAAACCAUGUCCAGCAUUCUUUGUAUGGGCUGGGCUGGGCUGGGCUGGGCUGGGCUUGUUUGUUUGUUUGUUUGUUUGUUUGUUUGUUUGUCGUCUGUCUGUCUGUCUGUCGGUCUGUCUGUCUGUCGUCUGUGUUUUUGUUUCUGUCUGUCUUUGUUUGUUUUUUUCUGGUCCGCGUCCGUCAUCCAGCCGUCUGUCUGUAAAAUCUGUGGUGUUC